rnacentral:pre_miRNA from 1 species
UUAACUCAAAUUUGAAUGGAAUUGGAACGUUUGCCUACGUUUGCAGCUAGGGACGCUGUUCCAACUGAUUUGAGUUA